AUGAAUCUGCUAGCCUAGAACUGUCGAGGAUUGGGGUUGGACUCGACAGUAGGCGAGUUGUGUGACCUGAUUAGGUCCUACAAACCAUCAGUGGUAUUUUUAAGUGAAACCAAGAAGAAGGCGAGUGCGAUGGAGGGACUGAAAUGGAGAUUGGGGUUCCAUAAUGGUGUUGUAGUGGACUGUGAUGGCCUUAGCGGGGGUUUAGCGCUAUGGUGGAGGGACAAUGUACGGGUGACUGUUAGAACAUGGUGUCAGUAUUUUAUCGACGCGGAGAUUCAGUGUGAAUGGAAGACCUGUAGAUUCACUGGUUUCUACGGGGAGCCACGAACUGAGUUAAGGAAGAAAUUUUGGAUGUAA
rnacentral:rRNA from 1 species